AACGAACGCUGGCGGCAUGCCUAACACAUGCAAGUCGAACGGGAUCCUGGUUUCGGCCAGGUGAGAGUGGCGGACGGGUGAGUAACGCGUGGGAACCUGCCCAGUGGUGGGGGAGUAACUGCGGGAAACUGCAGCUAAUACCGCAUGAGCCCGAAAGGGAAAGAUUGAUCGCCAUUGGAGGGGCCCGCGUUCGAUUAGGUAGUUGGUGAGGUAACGGCUCACCAAGCCUUCGAUCGAUAGCUGGUCUGAGAGGAUGAUCAGCCACACUGGGACUGAGAUACGGCCCAGACUCCUACGGGAGGCAGCAGUGGGGAAUAUUGGACAAUGGGGGCGAGCCCUGAUCCAGCAAUGCCGCGUGAGUGAUGAAGGCCUUC
rnacentral:rRNA from 1 species